GCUGCCAACGCCCCGGUGGAGAAGCUGAGGUCAACAUCAGAUUUGAAAUAUUUAAAGUGGAUACAAAACUAUUUCAGCAAUGCAGACAAUUAAGUGUGUUGUUGUGGGCGAUGGUGCUGUUGGUAAAACAUGUCUCCUGAUAUCCUACACAACAAACAAAUUUCCAUCGGAAUAUGUACCAACUGUUUUUGACAACUAUGCAGUCACAGUUAUGAUUGGUGGAGAACCAUAUACUCUUGGACUUUUUGAUACUGCAGGGCAAGAGGAUUAUGACAGAUUACCACCGCUGAGUUAUCCACAAACAGAUGUAUUUCUAGUCUGUUUUUCAGUGGUCUCUCCAUCUUCAUUUGAAAAUGUGAAAGAAAAGUGGGUGCCUGAGAUAACUCACCACUGUCCAAAGACUCCUUUCUUGCUUGUUGGGACUCAAAUUGAUCUCAGAGAUGACCCCUCCACUAUUGAGAAACUUGCCAAGAACAAACAGAAGCCUAUCACUCCAGAGACUGCUGAAAAGCUGGCCCGUGACCUGAAGGCUGUCAAGUAUGUGGAGUGUUCUGCACUUACACAGAAAGGCCUAAAGAAUGUAUUUGACGAAGCAAUAUUGGCUGCCCUGGAGCCUCCAGAACCGAAGAAGAGCCGCAGGUGUGUGCUGCUAUGAACAUCUCUCCAGAGCCCUUUCUGCACAGCUGGUGUCGGCAUCAUACUAAAAGCAAUGUUUAAAUCAAACUAAAGAUUAAAAAUUAAAAUUCGUU